rnacentral:rRNA from 1 species
GACCUCAAAUCAGGUAAGAAUACCCGCUGAACUUAAGCAUAUCAAUAAGCGGAGGAAAAGAAAAUAACAAUGAUUCCCUCAGUAACGGCGAGCGAAGAGGGAUAAGCUCAAAUUUUAAAUCUGUUGGGUUCCGCUUAACGGAGCUGUAUUUUGAAGAAACGUUUUCUGCAUCCAGGAUUAGCCUAAAUCCUUUGGGAUAAGGUAUCAUGGAGGGUGACAAUCCCGUUCAUGGUUAAUUCUAAGAUACUUUAUGAUGCGUUUUCGAAGAGUCGAGUUGUUUGGGAUUGCAGCUCAAAAUGGGAGGUAAAUUUCUCCUAAGGCUAAAUAUUGGCGAGAGACCGAUAGCGAACAAGUACCGUGAGGGAAAGAUGAAAAGAACUUUGAAAAGAGAGUUAAACAGUACGUGAAAUUGUUGAAAGGGAAACGAUUGAAGUCAGUCAUACCAACGGAAAAUCAACCUUUUGAGCUCGGUCUCGUGGGUUUUGAAGAGUUUCAAAGCCUUCGGAUUCGCGGGAUUGGGAUCUCUUGGCGUACUUUUUCGUACGGUUAGUCAACAUCGGUUUUGAAUGUCAUAAAAUGACUGGAGGAAUGUAGCUUCGAUCUCGUAUUGAAGUGUUAUAGCCUUUGGUAGAUGUGAUGUUUGAGACCGAGGAUUGCAGCGGAUACCCUUCAGGGCUAUUCGUCUGAUCUCUGAUACGUUGCCUUGAUGUUGAAAGCUUGCUUAUGAUGUCAGGGUAUUACGGUCAAAAGGUUAGAACGAAUUACAUUCGUUAAGGAUGUUGACGUAAUGACUUUAAACGACCCGUCUUGAAACACGGACCAAGGAGUCUAACAUAUAUGCGAGUGUUU